AUUGAACGCUGGCGGCAGGCCUAACACAUGCAAGUCGAAUGGUAACAGGAAACAGCUUGCUGUUUCUCUGACGAGUGGCGGACGGGUGAGUAAUGUCUGGGAAACUGCCUGAUGGAGGGGGAUAACUACUGGAAACGGUAGCUAAUACCGCAUAACGUCGCAAGACCAAAGAGGGGGACCUUCGGGCCUCUUGCCAUCAGAUGUGCCCAGAUGGGAUUAGCUAGUAGGUGGGGUAACGGCUCACCUAGGCGACGAUCCCUAGCUGGUCUGAGAGGAUGACCAGCCACACUGGAACUGAGACACGGUCCAGACUCCUACGGGAGGCAGCUGUGGGGAAUAUUGCACAAUGGGCGCAAGCCUGAUGCAGCCAUGCCGCGUGUAUGAAGAAGGCCUUCGGGUUGUAAAGUACUUUCAGCGGGGAGGAAGGGAGUAAAGUUAAUACCUUUGCUCAUUGACGUUACCCGCAGAAGAAGCACCGGCUAACUCCGUG
rnacentral:rRNA from 1 species